rnacentral:rRNA from 1 species
UACAGAGGGUGCGAGCGUUAAUCGGAAUUACUGGGCGUAAAGCGUGCGCAGGCGGUUCGCUAAGACCGAUGUGAAAUCCCCGGGCUUAACCCUGGGAACUGCAUUGGUGACUGGCGGGCUAGAGUAUGGCAGAGGGGGGUAGAAUUCCACGUGUAGCAGUGAAAUGCGUAGAGAUGUGGAGGAAUACCGAUGGCGAAGGCAGCCCCCUGGGCCAAUACUGACGCUCAUGCACGAAAGCGUGGGGAGCAAACAGG